CGCCCCGGCCCCGCCCUCUGUAACCCCGCCCCCAAUCAGGCUGAGGCUGAUUCACCCUUUCCAGAUCCGCAGGCCUAGAGGCCAUGAAGGAAGUGACAACCUGUGAGGAAAAAGACUUUAAGACCUGUGAGAUUCUUGAAGACAGAGACGGUGGUUUACUAAUACCUGCCAAGCCUGCAAUGGAAUAAGUAGGGGCUUGGGAAUUAAAAAGAUUUGAAUUUAAAUCCUGGCUCUUGAACUUUCUGUGUCAUCAUGGGAGUGUAUCCUGCAGAUAUACAUGUUGUGCAUGCAUCAUGUAUGAACAAAAUACUCCGUGCAGAUUGCACUUGGGCCUCAGCAGAGCCAGGUGAGGAAGAAAGUCCUGGUGCACUCCCAGGGUCAUGUUCCACCCAGGGUGCACUGCCCCCCACCCCCCAACACACCCACCAUGGAAGGCAGCAUGGAUGCAGGUUACUUUGUUACAGCUUCUUUGAAAAUACAUCAGAAGUUUGGGGAACCUGGGUGGCUCAGUGGUUUGGUUAAGCCUCUGCCUGACUCUUGGUCUGGGCUCAGGUUCUAUGAGAGUGGAGGGCUCUGGGAUG